GGAUCCAUAGCUCAGUGAUUAGAGCACUGGUCUUGUAAACCAAGGGUCAUGAGUUCAAGCCUCACUGGGUCCU